rnacentral:lncRNA from 1 species
AUGUUAUUAAUUGAUAGUUCACUAUUGUCUAUGACACUUCUAAGAGAUCCCAGAAUGUCUCAAAAACAAAACAAAACAAAAAACAGAAAACUUGCCCUCUGGAAAAUCUCUAAAGGAGAGAGAAUACAUUUAAACCACAAGACGCACGUGAUAAAGGCUGAGGCAGUCCCUUUUCUUGCUCUCCUGCCUUCUUUCCAAGAAAAGAUGAAGAAAUACUUCAGUGCAUGCCGUGUGCAGCCUAGAAGAUACAUAUGCGAUUGUAGAUGAAGCUAACUGACCAGGCAACACCAGGAGGAGCACGAGGACCAAGAGAACUAAGUGGGCAAGAUGCCCAGGCGGUGGACAGAAAACAGAAAAGAACAACAUCCAAAGAGCCACCUGGAGAACAGAUGGGGACCGGGGACCAGAACGCUCUUCCCAAAUCAAACAGAAAACAGGAAGGCUGUCCAAAGAUUUGGGGGCCGAGAGAGUGAGCAAUGCAGAAGGGAUUGUGACCACCAAGCUCCCUUUCUAGAAGAUGUGUCCAAAGCAGGUCCAAGCAGAUUGGGGGUGGGAGAGGAGAAUUCACAUUAAAAAUUUAUAACGUGCCCAAUGAGUUCUAGUGGGAAAUCUCAGAAGAUGCCAACAAUUCCAACUUUAAAAUACCCUUCUUCUUCAAUGUCUGUAUGUGUUUUUAGGAAUCCAAGUACAAUGAAAUAUUCAUCAUGGAGAGUUUUUGAUGGUAAAAGGGUAUCCCAGGGAGUAUCUUCUGAUGUUGUAUUGUCACCCUUUGUGGAAUUUUCACCCUCUCACUUCGUUCUUUAUUAGGUUGGAAUUGGGAUAAAAGAGUAGAAUGGGUCAUAAGGUCCUGUUCCAAGUAAUUAGAGAGUUUUUUCUUUUAUCUAAAUGUGCCUUGUUAAAGUAUAUCAGUGUCAGCCAGGUUAAUUGGAACUUUAAUACAUAAUUGAUGUUAAUUUAUGGCCCUUUUUGUUCCAGGAUGCUACUGCAGACCUUAAAGUCAGGAUACAGUUUUCUUGUUAUUAAUUAUAUACAGAAAGCCAAUAUCCCCUUUGAGAAGAGACCCAUGUCAUCUGUAGCUUAUUAAAGAUACAGCGUGUCAGCCAUAGGUCACUUUUACUGCAUAAGUCCCCGGUAAACUCCACAUUACUCCAUAAUAACAUAAUACACUAAUCACAGUCAAUGAAAAUUAGAAUUUUAAGCUAAAGCUCAUAACAUACUGUAUAUUAAAAUGUUAACAUGC